AGUAAUUUGGAGAUCAUACAGUCCAAUUAUUUCUCUUGGUAAAGAAACAGACCCAGCCAGGCACUGGUGGCUUGUGCCUGUAAUCCUAGGUAUUCAGGAGGCUGAGAUCUGAGAAUCGCGAUUUGUAGUCAGCCUGGGCAGAAAAGUCUCUCCAAUUAAUCACCA